rnacentral:tRNA from 1 species
GCGCUGGUAGCUUAAUCGGAUGGAGCACCCGGCUACGAACCGGGAGGUUGGAGGUUCGAAUCCUCUCCGGCGCG